rnacentral:lncRNA from 1 species
AAAACAGGAAAUCAAGCUCAAGUGGGACUGAUUCCAAACACUGACCAAUUUUAUCCUGACUGCAAUUUUGCCUUGACCUUUCCUGACUAAAGCAAAAUGAGGCUGGCUACGUGGAGAGGUUUUCUGCAGUGUUUAUACUCUGUUAAAAAAAUGGUACUAUAUCCUCCCUGGAUGACAGUGAAUCAUAUAAAAUGAACCCUAAGGAAACUGUAUGAAAGAGAAAAUGAAGAACGUAAGUAGUGGAAGACAAAUCACAUGGAGUAAUACAGUUACUGUGAACUUCUCAUAUCUUCUCCUUUUAGCCUCCAAACAUAACACUGAAAUUGCUGUACAAGAAACCCCAAUCAGUGAGAGUAUUAUAUGAAACAAUGUGAAAGACAAGAACAGGCUUCAAAGUCAUGUUUCAACUUAUGAACUAUAUGCAUAGUAUUAGGAAAAAUGGAAUCAGUUAUUAUAUUAUUUGCAUGACAUAUCUUACCACAUGCUAGUAACUAAACUACUAGUAGCUAUUGUUAUUAGGUAUUGUGGUCUGAGUGCCUAUGAGCAGCACUGUCGAACACCGCAAGACAAAGUCUGUUUGUUCCUGUGAAGGUUUCUACCCUUUUUUGUUUUUUGUAUUGGUCUUUAGUGAAGUUGAAGGGAAGACAGAAAGGAAAAAAAAAGGAAAUAAUAUAUUUUGCAAAUGAAUAGGCACAAUAACUAGAGGAGGCACCUGCAGCAAAUCUUAACUAUUUUUUACUUGACUUAUCUUCAAGUUAUUUAGGACGCUGUUACUGCUCUUUGGAUGUCUAAGCAGGCCACUUUAAGCAUUUAAGAAAAUGCAUUCAAGUAGGAAAUGUGAGGC